rnacentral:tRNA from 2 species
GGAUUAGCUCAGCUGGUAGAGCAUCUGAUUUGUAAUCAGAGGGUCGUUGGUUCAAGUCCGACAUCCG